rnacentral:rRNA from 1 species
GACGUAGGGCGCGAGCGUUGUCCGGAUUUAUUGGGCGUAAAGAGCUCGUAGGCGGCUUGUCGCGUCAACUGUGAAAACCCGUGGCUCAACCAUGUGGUCUGCAGUCGAAACGGGCAGGCUAGAAUUCGGUAGGGGAGACUGGAAUUCCUGGUGUAGCGGUGAAAUGCGUAGAUAUCGUAAGGAAGACCAGUGGCGAAGGCGGGUCUCUGGACAGUUCCUGACGCUGAGGCACGAAGGCCAGGGGAGCAAACGGG